AAUCUUUUGGGGGGGGAAUUGGUGGAGUUAAAGUAAGGGGCCCUUUUUUUUCUUCCCUACAAAUGUUGCUUCGGCGGGGAGGGUUCGCGUGACCCUCCCGGCCUCCCGCCCCCCCGGGCGGGUCGGCGCCCGCCGGAGGAUAACCAAACUCUGAUUUAACGACGUUUCUUCUGAGUGGUACAAGCAAAUAAUCAAAACUUUUAACAACGGAUCUGUGGGUUCUGGCAUCGAUGAAGAACGCAGCGAAAUGCGAUAAGUAAUGUGAAUUGCAGAAUUCAGUGAAUCAUCGAAUCUUUGAACGCACAUUGGGCCCGCCAGCAUUCUGGCGGGCAUGCCUGUUCGAGCGUCAUUUCAACCCUCAAGCUCUGCUUGGUGUUGGGGCCCUACAGCUGAUGUAGGCCCUCAAAGGUAGUGGCGGACCCUCCCGGAGCCUCCUUUGCGUACUAACUUUACGUCUCGCACUGGGAUCCGGAGGGACUCUUGCCGUAAAACCCCCCAAUUUUCCAAAGGUUGACCUCGGAUCAGGUAGGAAUACCCGCUGAACUUAAGCUUAUCAAUAAGCGGAGGAGGUCCUGG
rnacentral:rRNA from 1 species